CUCGGAAUCCUACUCUCAAAUUUGAAACUUCAGAAACUUAUGUCCAACUACUUUACUUUAGGAGGCAUCAUAAUUUAGUUCCACUCUUUUUUAGAGAAUGAGGUGGUUCUUUCCUUUUCUCCUACCCCUUUGCUGAGUGAGGGGUUGGGUUCAGAAAAGAGAGCUUUUUUAGAGAAUGAGGUGGUUCGUUUCCUUUUUUCCUACCCCUUUGCUGAGUGAGGGGUUGGGGCGUUCAGAAAAGAGAAUAGCUCAUCGGACUAGCUUAGAUGAUCAAUAUUUAGUUUGACAUUUGAGUGCAGUGUUAUGCAUAUAUGGCUUUUGGUGUUGUCCCUUCUUGUUUAU
rnacentral:lncRNA from 1 species